UGUGGAAUAUUGCGCAAUGGGCGAAAGCCUGACGCAGCGACGCCGCGUGAGGGAUGAAGGUUUUCGGAUCGUAAACCUCUGUCAGAAGGGAAGAAACCGCACUGUGCUAAUCAGCAGUGCCUUGACGGUACCUUCAAAGGAAGCACCGGCUAACUCCGUGCCAGCAGCCGCGGUAAUACGGAGGGUGCAAGCGUUAAUCGGAAUUACUGGGCGUAAAGCGCACGUAGGCUGCUUUGUAAGUCAGGGGUGAAAUCCCACGGCUCAACCGUGGAACUGCCGUUGAUACUGCUUAGCUUGAAUCCGGGAGAGGGUGGCGGAAUUCCAGGUGUAGGAGUGAAAUCCGUAGAUAUCUGGAGGAACAUCAGUGGCGAAGGCGGCCACCUGGACCGGUAUUGACGCUGAGGUGCGAAAGCGUGGGGAGCAAACAGG
rnacentral:rRNA from 1 species